GGUAAACACCUUGCAGGCGCCUUGGGACAAUUUUUUGUAACGGAAGUGGAGAGACAGACACGGAGGCGGCGGCGGCUCAGGUCCUGCCGCCUGACCCAAGGUCCCUCGAAGCGCGUCCACACGUCUUCGCCACCAUACACCCACCGGCGAGCUCUCCAGCCCGCGCCCCCGCUUCCAACGGCCCGCCAGGGUGCCCACAGCUCGGGGCCUCCAGGCGCGCCCCACCGGAGAACAGUGAAAAUCUCUCUUCAAAUAGAAUCUUCAUUGAAAGCCCAAAAUGGAAAACGAGUAAGAGCAGAGCUGCUUUGGGAGUUACCUGUGGUCAACCAAGGUCCUUCUGACCUAUCACCAAGUCAGUAGCACUCUGAUGCUGCAUCACUGUGCCUACAUUGUUCACCUCACUUCAUCUUGUCAAGUAGGCAUUUUAUCAUCUGACAUCAUCAUGAGAAGACGAAGUGAGUGAAAGUUUUUACUUGAAAGGGAAAUAAAUGAGAAUUGCAGUAGGCAAAACGUGAGCAAGGAUCAAGAACUCAUGAGCAGCAGGAUACUGGAGCAAUAGAAACCCACGAGAGCUCCAGAGAGGUCAGUUCCUCAAGAAGUGCAGCAUGGAGUCGUAUGACUUAGCUAUUCUUCUCUCACAUAAAUUUGUACACGAAUGUUCACAGUGGAAUUAUUCAUUAUCGUGAAAAAGUGGAAAAAGCCCAAACAUCCAUCAACUAAUUAAUGAAUAAACAGGUUGUGUGGAUCCAUACAAUGGAAUAUUAUCAGCAGUAAAGUGCAAUGAAGUCCUGACAUAUUUAUACAUACUACGUGACACAUGCCACAACAUGAAAGAAUUUCAAGAACAUUGUGCUGAUAGGAGCCAGUUAUAAAAAACAACAUAUUUUAUUAUCCCAUUUAUAUGAUAUAUCCAGUAGAGGUAAAUCUAUAUGUGCAGUGUAAAACUCCUUGGGCCAGGAGUUGGGAUAGGGCUGGGUAGAAAUGGGGCAUGACAACUUAAGAGUACAGAGUUACAGAGUUACAUUUCGUGGUGAUAAAAAUAUUCUAAAAUUGAUUGUGGUAACGAGUUCAGAAUUCUAGGAGUAUCCGAAAACCCAUCAAAAUGUACACUAAAAAUAGUUGAACUAUUUGUAAAUUAUAUCUCAGUAAAACAUAAAAAAAUAUAAUUGGCAGGUGAAAUACAGUAUGUCCAAUUAAAUUUGAAUUUGAUAUAAACAGAGAAUGUUAAGCAUAAAUAUAUCCCAAAU